rnacentral:lncRNA from 1 species
CAUAAGUGGAAACUACUAAAUUAGUACCCUCCCCUGGCUGCUCCAGUGGAAGCUCUGAGAUCAGCUCAGUGGCUCCUGACACUUUCAGAUUUUACUGCCAGAGCUUACCCUGAAUAGCUUGGUUAGCUGAAAAAACUAAGACGUCAGGCAGUUCCAGGUGUAAAGGCCAUCACUAAGACAGCUCUCUGACUUAUUUCCCACAGGUACCUAGGAGUGUUUCAAUUAUUUCCAAACCCAGUGAAGCCCUCCUACUCAAGCCAGACCGCUGCAUGAACUGAACACAUGAUACUUGAAGAACACAGCACGUGUGAAAAGCUACAACCAAAACUGAAGAUCAAACCUGAAGAUGGGGCCAUCAUCCAUCCAUGGAGCUGUGUACCACACGCUUUACUGGAAGAGGAGUGACUGGCAAAUGAAGUUUUAGAAACUCUCCCAGAGGAAAAGAACAUGACCAAUGACAUCCUCUCUUGAGGCUGGUUGGGAGAUAGUAAAGCACCUCUCUGGUGCCUGGAGAGGGCUGGCUGGCUGCCCAGACCAAUUCUCAAGAGGAGACAUUUAGCACAAUGAUGGAAUUCACUGCUUCCCAAGGAAUGAUACAGACUUGUAGGCUCUUGUCUUAGUUCAUUCAGGCUAGUGUAACAAAUUACCAUAAGCUGAGUAGCUUAAAAACAGCAAACAUUAGUUUCUCAUAGUGCUGGAGCUGGAAAGUUCAAGAUUAAGGUCCUAGCAGAUUCAGUGUCUGAUAGGCCCACUUCCUUGUUCAUAGUGGUCAAGUGGCACAUUCUAGCUGUAUCCAGAAUAGUUUCCCUUCAUGCAAGGGCUAGCUAGCUCUCUCUUCAACUCUCUUCUCUCUGUUUCUCUGUCUCCCCUGUAAACUCCUUCCUCGCAUGGGUCUUUCUGUGUAACCCAGUCUGGCUCUAAACUCUCAAUCCUCCUGCCUUAGCAUCCUGAGUUCUGGUAUUAUAACUGUAGGCCACCAUACUUAGUUUUGAAGUCUCUUUGUUUAGGCACACUAAUCUCAUUCAUGAGGUCUCUGCUUCUGCUCUCAUAAUUUAAUCACCUUCCAACAGUUCCACCUCUUAAUCCUAUCCCAUUAGGAGUUAAGGUUCAGCAUGAGUUAUUUUUUUUGGGGGGGAUACAAACAUUUAGAUCAUAGUAGUCUGAAAUUUUUCAGUGACCCAG